GGCAGUUCUCAGGUGACGCACCCCAGAAUCAGGCUCCCUCCUCUCUGGUUCUGGAGUGUGUCACCCGAGAACCACC
rfam:Myotis lucifugus cont2.16581, whole genome shotgun sequence.